AUGCCCUAGGGCUAGUGGAAGACUUAAGAUGGCGGCGUUUGCACGGAGUGCAAUCACUGCGUCCUUACGGGGGUUGCAAGGCGUCCGAAGUAUGAGUCCACUAACAAAAGUCCAGAAACUCGCCAGUUAAUAGUAUUGUGUCUCUUCAAAAUAUCGGAGAAUAAUUUCUUUCUCGCUGAUCGCCUAACUUCUACUGACGAAGCUUGGAAGUUGCAGAAGAUGGAGUUCGCUCUUGUUGCCCAGGCUGGAAUGCAAUGGCAUGACCUUGGCUCACUGCAACCUCUGCCUCCCCAGUUCAAGUGGUUCUCCUGCCUCAGCCUCCCGAGUAGCUGAGAUUACAGGUACUGGCUCCUGUAUCACCCAGCUCUGGAGUUGAAAGAGCUCUUCAUUCCUGAGUCUCCUGUACCACUGAGAAUAGGCUGGAGUGCAGUGGCGCAAUCUCGGCUCUCUGCAACCUUCACCUCCCGUGUUCAAGUGAUUCUCCUGCCUCAGCCUCCUGAAUACCUGAGAUUACAAGCAUGCACCACCACGCCCGUCUAAUUUUGUAUUUUCACUAGAGACGGGGUUUCUCCAUGUUGG
rnacentral:lncRNA from 1 species